rnacentral:rRNA from 1 species
UACGGAGGGGGCGAGCGUUGUUCGGAAUCAUUGGGCGUAAAGGGCGCGUAGGCGGCCUCGUAAGUCAGAUGUGAAAGCCCCUGGCUCAACCAGGGAACUGCAUCUGAGACUGCAAGGCUUGAAUCCGGGAGGGGAGAGUGGAAUUCCCAGUGUAGCGGUGAAAUGCGUAGAUAUUGGGAGGAACACCGGUGGCGAAGGCGGCUCUCUGGACCGGUAUUGACGCUGAGGCGCGAAAGCUAGGGGAGCAAACGGG